rnacentral:tRNA from 1 species
GUAGCUUAGCUGAAUAGAGCGUAGGAUUCCGGUUCCUAAGGUCAUGGGUUUGAAUCCCAUAUGCUCCACCA